rnacentral:lncRNA from 1 species
GUGUGGCCCAAGCUGGUCUCAAACUCCUGACCUCAAGUGAUCCUCCCGCUUCAGCCUCCCCAGGUGCUGGGAUUACAGGCAUGAGCCACCGCACCCAGCGGGGACAGGACAAUUUUGCCAGCUGGAGAAGGGGUGGCCCCCAAAUGUCCCCUUCACCACCCUCCUGCCUCUUCCUUCAGAACACUUUUUCCCUGAAGCCCUC